rnacentral:rRNA from 1 species
ACUCCUACGGGAGGCAGCAGUGGGGAAUUUUGGACAAUGGGCGAAAGCCUGAUCCAGCAAUGCCGCGUGAGUGAAGAAGGCCUUCGGGUUGUAAAGCUCUUUUGUCAGGGAAGAAACGGUGAAAGCUAAUAUCUUUUGCUAAUGACGGUACCUGAAGAAUAAGCACCGGCUAACUACGUGCCAGCAGCCGCGGUAAUACGUAGGGUGCAAGCGUUAAUCGGAAUUACUGGGCGUAAAGCGUGCGCAGGCGGUUUUGUAAGUCUGAUGUGAAAUCCCCGGGCUCAACCUGGGAAUUGCAUUGGAGACUGCAAGGCUAGAAUCUGGCAGAGUGGGGUAGAAUUCCACGUGUAGCAGUGAAAUGCGUAGAUAUGUGGAGGAACACCGAUGGCGAAGGCAGCCCCCUGGGUCAAGAUUGACGCUCAUGCACGAAAGCGUGGGGAGCAAACAGGAUUAGAUACCCGAGUAGUCCCAUGAU